ensembl:lncRNA
AUGAGCUGGAAAUGGGGCCACCGUAAUGAGGAGAGCCAUGGUCAAACCCAUGAGCUCUAGCAGCAGAUGGCUUGAGUUUAAAUCAUGCCUUUACCAUUUAACUCUGAGUGAUCUUGAACCCCUCCUUGUUCAGUUUUCUUAUCUGCAAGGCAGGAGUGACAAGAGCAUCUGGCUUGGAUACAAGGAUCCCAUGAGUGAAGAGCCGUAGGCAUUUCCAGCAGUGUCAGGCCCAAGCCUCCUCUGCAAAGCUGAGCUCCACAAGGCGGUUAAAAGAAUCAACUCUAAAGCUGGACAGCCUAGACUAUCCUGUGCUCCCCUGCCUUAGGUAGGUGACAUGGAAUAAGUGACUCUCUUUGUCUCAGUUUCCCCAUCUGCCAUCGAGGAGUAAGAGUCCGCUCCCCCACCAGGAUAUUGUGAGAAUCAGACAAGUUAAGACACACAAACUCGUUAUUCCUGGUGUUUGAAAUAUCAUCUGUUUUGAUGCUUCUGGGAGCAAGCUGCAGAAAAUGGAUCCACAAAGGACACACUCAGAUCCCUGGUUUCCUGCUCUGGAUAAUGCCCCAUCCUUGAAGUGGAGGGGAAUGGGGAGGUGCAGGGUGGGCAGGGAGAGGGGGUUCUCCACCAUGGAAUGCUCACCGGCGAGUCCCAGCAGUAGGGUCAGCAGCAGGCGAGGAGCAGGAGGGUGGGACCAGCAUUCAGGGAUGGGCAUUGCCGAGGCCUGAGGAGGCUGCUCUGUCCAAAUGUGUGUCCUGGUGAGAAGUGGACUUGUGUGCUCUGUGGAGAGGAGCUAAGCCCCACCUCCUGUGAUAUAAGAGGAAGUGCCUGGGGAGGAAUGAAAUGGCUGUGAGAUAGUAACUUGCUUCUGCAUUCUAGACAGUUCCUGCUUUUAGAUGGAGAACUAGAAAUCAGGCAGAAAAACUUGUUACAAGGUAGAAUUAUUGACUUCUGUAACAUUGUGUAAGCAUUACGUAAACCUUAUGUGAACCUUAGAUAACGUUAUGGAAACAAAAAUAUCUACAUUACGUAACCAUAGUAUUUCCAUUAUGUUUAAUGUAUGGUAUGUUUAAUGUAUGUUUAAUGAAUGUUAUGUUUAAUGUUUCAUGUAUUAGGAGGUUACAAGUUGGAGGUACUCAUGUAACAUAAUGUAUAUACUUAGUAAACGCUUAUAUAAGAGUAUAUAAAGAUUAUGGAAACACACUGAUGUUUUCAG